ACAGAGCCGGGACCGAGCGAGCCGGCGAGCGACCGAGGUAAAGGUAUCGCGCCUUAGUCAGAGGCCACCAGAGUUGGGUUACAUUUUGUUAGUAGACACCCUUUUAUCAUCUUUUGUACUUGAUGAUUAGUGAUGUAAAGAAAAGAAUGCAAAGCUUAUUUUGAGGUAAAUGUGUUGUAAGAAAGAAAUGAUGAGAUUAUGUAAGAACAGCAAAGAAUCUUAAAUGUAAAAGAUGGAUGCAAUGUAUAUGAUCUAAAAUGAAUCAUAUUACUUGUGAAUGUUUAGUUUUCCUUUCUUUCACUGAUGGCUAUUGCUUACCCUCGCGUAAGCCGUUUGUGUAUGUUUCCGCUAGUGCUUUUCUCUAUUGAUGAAAAUGUACAUGUGAUGAGCCUUGGGCGGAUAGGGAAAACUCUGUCCGUCCGGCGUCUGUUUGACGCGCUCGGGUCGGGCCAAAUUGGCAGCGGUCCCGGGGCGUGACAGAUAGGUUGGUAUCAGAGCCAAUAGUGAAAGAAUAGGAAUGGACCUAGAGACCUAUAGGAUUGGAAGGCCUUAAGGAUCUAGGAAACGUGAGUGACGUGGGAUCAAGUUAGCGAAAGCAUGUGAUUGGGUUAAGUUGGAACGUCUCUAAUGUGAUUAGAGGCUAGGUUUAAUUUUCGUUUAUCCUCUACUUCUAGUGUUGUGUCGGGCGGCCGACGACAUGACGCUUGAGGCAAGGAUGAAUAUGCAUGUUGCUUUCGCCUAAUUGGGUAUGGUCAAGUAAUGUUGGUCAAGUGACUAAUGUGAGUUGCUUCUUUUCAGGAAGCAAUGGCACCUCGACGUCGAUCGCAGACAAGGUCGAUGCCGGAGGAAGCGAAUGCGGUGCCCGAGCAAUCCGGAGCAAGUGACGACGGAGAGCUCAGGGAGCAAAUGGCCGCGCUUAUUGGCGUAGUGCGGCAACAAGCGGAGUCUGUUCAACGCCAAGGGGAACAGAUUCAGCGCAUCUCCAGGAGACCUUGGAGCGCCAGCAGGCGGCGGCGGCCCAGGCGGACGACGAGCAUGUCGCGCCCCCUGCGGUAGUGCCGAGCGUGGACGAGGGAGCGGCGGCAGCGGCGGCUGUCCCAGUCACGGUAGUACCGGCCGGGUCGGGAACGUCGAAUCCCGAUAGCGCGGCAGUUGAAUGCGGAGCGAGAGCGCACUUUGGCGGCGCUUAUACAGUUCAAGAAGUUCGAUCCCACCUACCUUCGAGGGCGGUUUGGUGGAGCCGGCGGUUGUGGAGUCGUGGAUCGACUCGAUGGAGACCCUAUUCGAGGACCUUAAUACCUCGGAGAAGGAUAAAGUGUAUCCUCGCCACCCAUUAUCUAGGGAAGGCGUCGAAAGGUGUGGUGGAAGCGAGUUAAGCGGGAUCGACCUACCGAUCUCCCGCUCAUGCUUUGGGAAGAGUUCAAGAGAGCGGUGUUCGUGAACUACUUCCCCGACACGGUGAAGCGGAAGCUACAAGAAAAGUUUCCGCAAGUUGAGACAGGGUGAUCGAUCGGUGGGGGAGUAUGAGCAGGAAUUCUCCCACAUUAUUGACUUGCGUUCCCGACGUUGUUCGUGAUGAUCGGGACCGGGCGGAUUGGUUCUUGCGAGGACUUCAGCCCCGAAUUUAUGAAAAGGUGCAGAUUCUGAAGUUGUCGACCUUUGCGGAGGUCUUCGAUAGAGCCCUUUGUGGGCGGAGCACGGUAGCGCCCAUGUACGUGAAGAACGAGAAGCUAUUGCCGAGACCAAGGACAAGGACAAGAAGAGAACGGCGGGCUGGUGCCGGGGGCCGGCCAAAUGCUAAGAAACCCCCUCGGUAUCCCCGACAGCAGCGAGGAAUUGGAGACCGCCUCGAUGUGUUAUAUGUGGCGGUGAGCACAAGGUGUCGACUUGCCCGCAGCGAGACGGCAAAUGUUUCAAGUGCGGCCAACCGGGACACCUGUCAUCCGGGAGUGCCCGUUGUGGACGUCGUCUGCGCCGACGGCGACAUUCAGCACCGUCUACCCCGAGACAGCUUGCGGGGCUUACCACCAGCGAUGUCGGCUGGGCGCGCGUCAUCACCGCGUCAGCCGGAGGGAUCGAGAGCGCCUAGCGGCCGAGUCUUUGCAGCUCAGGUGGAGGAGCAACAACCUGCAGCACCCGACGACGUCGUGGCAGGUAUAAUUGUGAUUAAAGGCACUAGAGCUAGAGCAGUGUUUGAUACAGGCGCAUCUCAUUCAUUCAUUAGCACUUCAUUUGCUAAGACACAUGGCAUAGAGAUGGUGUACAAUGAGGAUUACUGGUGGGUGAACGCUCCAGAGCAUUCAUUCAGUGUCCAUAAUGAGUGUUUGGCGUGUCCAGUGCAAAUAGGCGAUUGGAUUAUGCCGAUUGAUCUGCUAGUGCUAGAUCAGAUGUGGGGAUUCGAUGUUAUCUUGGGGACCAACUGGCUCUCCAAGUACUAUGCGGUGAUAGAUUGUGAAAGUAAGGUGAUCACUUUUCGUGAGCCUAAUCAAGAGGAGUUAGUCUACCAAGCGUGCAAAAGUAGGCGCUUCGCGGCGACUAUAUCGUCAGUAAGGGCGAAGAAAAUGAUCAAAGGAGGGUGUAAGGCCUAUUUGGCAACCAUGGUGGAUGCUCGAAGGGAGUACCCAGACCUUGGGAAGAUAUCCGAGUAGUGUGCGAGUACCCGGAUGUGUUUCCGGCGGAGUUACCGGGACUGCCACCGGACCGGAAAGUUGAGUUUGUCAUUGACUUGAUUCCCGGGGCGGAACCAGUUUCGAAGGCUCCGUAUAGAAUGGCACCGGUGGAGUUAAAGGAGCUAAAAGGUCAACUACAAGACUUGCUCGAUAAAGGCUUCGUGAGACCGAGUGUGUCACCGUGGGGAGCUCCGGUGCUAUUUGUGAAGAAAAAGGAUGGCACACUUCGACUCUGCGUAGAUUAUCGCGAGUUAAACAAAGUAACGAUAAAGAACAAGUACCCGUUGCCAAGGAUUGAUGAUCUGUUCGAUCAGUUGCAAGGGUCCAAGGUGUAUUCGAAGAUUGAUCUCCAAUCGGGGUAUCAUCAAUUAAAGAUCAGGCCGAAAGAUGUGCACAAAACAGCGUACCGUACGCGGUAUGGCCAUUAUGAGUUUACGGUAAUGCCGUUUGGGCUUACCAAUGCCCCGGCAGCAUUUAUGGACUUGAUGAAUCGAGUCUUUAGACCGUUGUUGGAUCGAUGCGUCGUGGUGUUUAUUGACGACGUCUUGGUUUAUUCAAAGAGUGAGGAGGAGCACGAAGAGCAUCUGAGAGCGGUGUUGCAGAUACUCAGACAAGAGAAGCUCUAUGCAAAGUUAAAGAAGUGUGACUUCUGGCUAAAGGAGGUCACAUUCUUGGGUCAUGUGGUAUCGGGCGACGGAGUUUCGGUAGACCCGAAGAAAGUAGAGGCGAUCAAGGAUUGGCCUCGCCCGACGAGUGUAGCGGAGGUCCGCAGUUUUCUUGGACUGGCGGGCUACUACCGGCGGUUCGUGGAGGGGUUCGCCAAAAUAAUCACUCCACUAACGCGCCUCACGCAUAAAGGAGUAAAGUACGUGUGGAGCGACGAUUGCGAUCGAAGCUUCGAGGAGUUAAAGAACAGAUUGACGUCGACCCCGGUGCUUGCCUUGCCGACUCCGGGGGAGACCUUUGUAGUGUACAGUGAUGCCUCGUAUGUUGGUCUCGGGUGUGUAUUAAUGCAAAAUGGGCGAGUUAUUGCUUAUGCAUCGCGCCAAUUAAAGAGCUACGAGAAGAACUACCCGAUUCACGACCUCGAGUUAGCUGCGGUGAUUUUCGCGCUAAAGCUGUGGAGGCAUUACUUGUAUGGUGAACAUUGUGAGGUGUAUACCGAUCACAAGAGCCUGAAGUAUUUGUUCACCCAGAGGGAGUUGAACAUGCGACAGCGGCGGUGGUUAGAGUUGCUGAAGGACUAUGAUGUCACCAUAUUAUACCACCCGGGAAAAGCCAAUGUCGUGGCCGAUGCCUUGAGUAGAAAGUCGGCGGAGAACUUAGCGACGGCAAUUACGCCUCAACCGCUAUUACAAAAGGAAAUGCAACGAUUCGGGUUGGAAGUGGUAGCGCCGGGAGUGCCGGCUACACUUGCCACAUUGGUUGUGCAACCGACCCUGUUGGAAAGAAUCAAAGAGUUACAAACCUCGGAUCCUUAUCUCCAAAAGGUUCGAGAUGAUGUUGAGAACGGUAAAGCCGAAGACUUUGGCGUUGGAGCUGAUGGCGCACUUCGAUUCCGAGAUCGAUGGUGUGUGCCUAAAGAUGAUGAGUUGCGAGGGGCGAUCAUGCAGGAAGCACAUCAAUCUCCCUAUAGUAUACACCCCGGCGGCACUAAAAUGUACAAGGAUUUGAAAGAGCACUAUUGGUGGCCGGGUAUGAAAAGAGAUAUUGGGGAGUUCGUGGCGCAAUGUUUAACGUGCCAACAAGUUAAAGCUGAGCGCCGAUUUCCGGCGGGAAAGCUACAAAGUCUACCGAUACCCGUUUGGAAAUGGGAAAACAUAGCAAUGGACUUUGUUACAGGUUUGCCUCGAUCGCAAGGCGGACAUGAUGCGAUAUGGGUGAUAGUGGAUCGAUUGACAAAGUCGGCACACUUCUUGCCGAUACAUACUACGUGGUCGGGAGACAAGCUAGCGCAAGUUUAUCUCGACGAGGUUGUGAGACUUCAUGGGGUUCCAGUGUCGAUCGUGUCGGAUCGCGACCCCAGGUUCACAUCCCACUUUUGGAAAAGUUUGCAAGACGCGCUAGGCACGCGGCUCGAUUUUAGCACGGCGUUUCAUCCUCAGAGUGAUGGACAAUCAGAGCGAACGAUACAAAUCCUUGAGGAUUUACUUCGAGCGUGUGUGCUAGAUUACAAAGGAGGAUGGCAUGAUUUCUUGCCUAUGGCGGAGUUCGCCUACAAUAAUAGCUACCAAGAGAGCAUAGCAAUGGCGCCUUUUGAGGCACUAUAUGGACGUAAGUGUCGUUCUCCUAUUCAUUGGAGCGACGUGGGCGAGAAAGCGGCUCUUGGCCCGGAUGUAGUGCGGGAGGCGGAAGAGAAAGUUCGCCUUGCCCGUCAACGGUUGGCGAUGGCGCAAUCUCGGCAAAAGAGUUAUGCCGACAAGCGAAGAAAGGAUUUAGAGUUCGCGGUUGGAGACCGUGUAUUCUUGAGAGUAUCGCCGAUGCGAGGAGUUAAACGAUUUGGGGUCCGUGGGAAGCUAAGUCCCCGAUAUGUCGGACCAUUUGAGAUAUUAGAGCGUGUGGGUGCGGUGGCGUAUAAGCUCGCAUUACCACCGAGACUCGCGGGAGUUCAUAAUGUAUUUCUUGUGUCGAAUCUUCGAAAGUAUAUCCGAAACCCGACACAUGUAUUGGAGUAUGAGCCCGUGGAGCUACGUGAGGAUAUGACCUACGAGGAGUACCCGGUGUGCAUCCUCGAUAGAGAAGUGAAAAAGUUGCGAAGUCGCAAAAUCCCUUAUGUGAAAGUCCAGUGGAGCAACCAUGAUGUGCGAGAAGCCACUUGGGAGCUCGAGGAGUCAAUGCGGAAAGAAUAUCCGCAUCUAUUUGAGUCGACGAGUUAAGGUAUGCGUAAUUUCGCGGACGAAAUUAUUUUAAGGGGUGGAGAAUGUAAUAUACCGAAAAUUCGGAAAAUAAAUAUCGAACUUUAGUCAAAUUGACCAAAGUACGAGAAUGGUGCACUUCGGAAAGUCCGAAGGUGUUAAAAUGAUCGAAAGUGAGUUACGGGAGGUUUUCGAGAGCUAGAGAAUCAAAUUCUGCAAAACUGCAGUUUUUGAGCUCUCGGGGACCGGUCCCUGGUGGGAGAGACCGGUCCCCGAACGCGUGCAGAAUGAGACAGCCGAAAAAUCGGCUAAGUCCUGGAAGAUCAGCUCUCGGGAACCGGUCUCUGUCUGAGAGACCGGUCCCCCAGAGACCGGUCCCAUAAGGAGAGACCGGACCCAUCGCGCGCAGCUGCUCUGGCUGCGCUGGGAGAGCUCUCGGAGACCGGUCCCUAGUCGGGGAGACCGGUCCCCGAGCCCGAAAACUGCCCAGUCCAGGCAGUUGCAAUAGAUGAAAGUUGAGGGGUUUAUUAGCAUUUUUGCCACCCAAUGGUUAUGUAAGGGGGCUGAAAGGGCCUUUCUCUCAUUCCACUCCCUCUCACACUCUCUCCUCUCUUUCUCUCUCUAGAAGACAAAGAAGGAGAAGAAGAAGAAGGAGAAGAAGACAAAGAAGGAGAAGAAGGUGAAGAAGAAGCUUUUGGAGCAAAGGAGCCUCAUCUUCUUCCUCUCUAGGGCAAGAAAGGAAAGCUUACAAGGUAAGCUUUGAUCUAUAUUGUAGAAAAACCCUAGAAUGAGUUUUGAAUAACCUAGAAAUGGGUUUUAAUGGGAUAUUUGAAGAGUUUUGAAGCUUUCUUUUGGUUCUUUAGAGAUCAAAUCCAUGGUUGAGCUCAAGGUGAGCUUCAACCCACCUCUAAUGGUGAAAUCCAAACUAGGGUUUUGGAAAGCCUAAGAAUGAUUCUAAUGGGCUAUUUAGAGUAUAAUGAAGCUACUUUUGCUUCCCAAUGAGAUCAAACCCUAGGUUUUGAUAUACAUUGGAGCUAGGGCACCCAAAUUGGGGCUUUUGCUCAUGAAGGUUUCUAAGUGCAAUUGACCCUCUAAAAACCUAAUUGGGGGUAUUUCCGACGCGUUGGUGCGCUCGGAAUAGCAUUUCGAAAAGUGUAUGAAAAGUUAUGGGCAAAAUGGCCUAAUAAGGGUUCGUUUUGCCGCAGGUAAAGAACGAGGCAUCUAAAAAUUCUAAGAAAAUCAUCGGAGCACCUAAAGAGACCUACAAGGUGGGUGGUGCUUCUCAAACUCAUUGAAAUUCUCUCUAUGCCUAAUGUGUCAUUCUUUGAGCAUAUGUUAUAUGUAUUGUUGCAUGCAUUUUAGGGUAAAGUAAUGAUGAAAUGUGAUGAUUGCAUAAUUGUGAGCACAACUUGCAUAAUGAGAUGGUUGAGAACCUAAUAAUGUCAAAACCCUAUAUGUAUGCAUGAGAGAAAAGUGAGCACCCAAAGUGAGCAAAAGAACAGAGUGGCACAAUGACAUAGAUCGAGUGGCAUUCAAUAAAGCUAAUGUGAAAUGACACUAGAGUUAGUGUGAUGUAAAGAAUUAAAGUGAUGUAAAGAAUGAUGAAAAUAACGACGAGUAAAGCUAAAGUAAAGUGGGCAAUAAGAACAAGAAUGCUAGAGUUAGCAAAAGUAAAAGAAAUGCAAAGAACAAUGAUUGCUAGAGUUAGCAAGAGUAAUGAGAAUGUAAAGAAUGUGAUUGCAUGAGUUUGCAACAUAAAGUGAUGUAAAGAACACUAGAGCUAGUGUAAAGUCAAGAUUGAACUAUAAUCCUUUGAGUUAAGGAUAUGAUCAUACUUGCUGUUGAGUUCCGUGCUCGAGGGCGGUCGCUCCCCCUCGGGCGAUGCGCUCCGGAGUUAUGCAUCCGGGUUGGAGUAGACCCGAAAGGACGGUCCUAGCUGGUGAGUACCUGCGAUGAUGGACUUAGCGUGAGGCAAGUUAAUGUGGCGAAACCCCCGGGUUAGCCUUAAUGAUUAAAGAGCAAAGAACAAAGAAUAAAGAACAAAGAGUAAAGUGAAAAGAACUAAAGAACAUGCAUAACCUGCAUCUAUUAAUGUUGAGCAUAUUCCUUGCUUUUGUUCAGGCAUAUUAGCAUCAUGUUAUAGAUUGGUUACCAUAUUUCAGCUUAUCCUUUCUAUUAUGCCUGAGUUAGUCCUAGUGGGAAAGUCGGUGAUGUUGAGGCCGAACCCACUGGGAACUUUGUUGUAGUUCUCACCCCACUAUUUCCACAGAGCCGGGACCGAGCGAGCCGGCGAGCGACCGAGGUAAAGGUAUCGCGCCUUAGUCAGAGGCCACCAGAGUUGGGUUACAUUUUGUUAGUAGACACCCUUUUAUCAUCUUUUGUACUUGAUGAUUAGUGAUGUAAAGAAAAGAAUGCAAAGCUUAUUUUGAGGUAAAUGUGUUGUAAGAAAGAAAUGAUGAGAUUAUGUAAGAACAGCAAAGAAUCUUAAAUGUAAGAGAUGGAUGCAAUGUAUAUGAUCUAAAAUGAAUCAUAUUACUUGUGAAUGUUUAGUUUUCCUUUCUUUCACUGAUGGCUAUUGCUUACCCUCGCGUAAGCCGUUUGUGUAUGUUUCCGCUAGUGCUUUUCUCUAUUGAUGAAAAUGUACAUGUGAUGAGCCUUGGGCGGAUAGGGGAAACUCUGUCCGUCCGGCGUCUGUUUGACGUGCUCGGAUCGGGCCAAAUUGGCAGCGGUCCCGGGGCGUGACA
rnacentral:lncRNA from 1 species